GGACUCUGUUGUGUCAUUACAACUGGUCUGAAAUAUGUGAGUGCACCCUGCUGUUGCAGCGUCUUCAGUGUGAUAAGCAUCUUCACUGGAUCAAGUUCCUUUUGGACACGUGUGCAUUGUGGGCUCUGUGCUGACAAACUGUCUUUGGACAAUCUUGACAAUUUGACCUCAGAUCGGGUGGGACUACCCGCUGAACUUAA
rnacentral:misc_RNA from 1 species